AAAGAGUUGGCUGAUAAUAAGCAAAAGGUUUUUAAUCUUUUUAUGAAAGAAUUAGUUA
rnacentral:tRNA from 1 species